rnacentral:lncRNA from 1 species
AAAUACAGGACUGAUUUCAAAAUAGCAUUAAGAAACAGAGGAAUUCCUAACUUUAUAUCACUGUACAGCCCAAUUUUGGGGACCAAAUAAAACCCACUAACCCCUAAAUACUCACUAAACCCCCUACAACACCAAAUAAAACCCAAUAGCAGCCCAAUUCAAACCAAAUAAACAAACAGACCAAAACCGACAAGCCCAAUGCAAACCCAAACUACCCACUACACACUAAACCUACCCAAACCCCAAUCUAACCCUAAAUCACUUAUCCCACCGCCCCAUGUCAGAAUCUGGCCACCGCCUCUGCUCCACCGCCACGGUCACGUAAGUCACCCACUUGCUCCACUACCUGCAAAUAUUAAAUAGAGAAAAGACAGGAAGUAGAAAAGAAACAUGUAAUGGCUAUAUAUAAAGCCGAAUCAAAAACCAUGAGGGUCGGUUUUUUGAAAAUGAAAAGCAUUUAGAUCUUAAAGAAUACAAAACAGAGAUUUCAUCAACAUCAAAAGGAAAAAAAACGAAAUCUCAGCAAAAUCAAAAGGCAGAAAACAGUUCAAACAAAGAAUCGAAAUCUAAUAUUGCAAGGUGAUUUUACCAUCAUCAUUGUCUUCUUUCUUUUUCUUCUUUUAAUCUAUUUAUUCACAUGCCUAUACAUAUAUAAAAUAGCAAAAAAAUAGAAUAAAAAAUUUACCUUGAGCGAUUUCCGGACACCGUGUACGGUGGCCGGAACGGCGGACGACACGGCGGCGAACGGUCGGCUCCUCGCCGGUUUCUGGGCUCGCUGCAGAGAAAGGAGAGAGGGAGAGAGGGUUUCAGCCUUUUUUUGCUGGAAAGAACGAAAAAUGAAGUUUCAAAAAAACCUUGACUUUUAAAGGCUCCCGGUACGACGUCGUUUUGGGGCGUGCAUUCAGCACCCAAAACGACGUCGUUUAGCGAUCCGAUCCACGACCCGACCCGUCUGCCCGAAGGAUCCGCGUGUUUUUGCAAGCAUGGUCUAAUUGCUUAUGCAGUCCUUCCUCUUUUUGUACAUUUUGCAAACAAGUUCUUAUUUAUUUUAAAUUUACCCAGAAAUUUGUCGCGUAUUGCGAUUUGGCCCCCCUUCAGUGAUGCGUGUUAAGGGCUCGGGAAAAUUUCUCUUUUGGCCCUCCGCAGUCGCGCGCAUUUUCAAAUUAGUCCAUUUCUCCUUUAUUAUUUUUUAAUCGGCCCCAAAACUUCAUUUUGUCUCGAAUUAAGUCCUUCUUCAUAUUUAAUAUAUAUAUAUUUUUUGUAUUAUUUUUGCCUUUUUUUAUUUUCUAAUAUUAUUUAUCAUUUUAUUUAUUAUUCUCAUUGUUAUUAUUAGCAUGUUUAUGCUAUUAUUUAGUAAUCUUUUUAUUUUCCAUUUAACACUCAUAUAUAUUUUAUAUGUUUAUAUAUUAUUAUUCCCAAUAUAUAUUUCAUGUAUACGUAUUUAAAUACCAUACUAUAUACAUAUAUGUUAUAUCUAUUUUUGCCCCCAUUAUAUUUGAUAAUAAUAUUAGUGUACAUAUUAUUAUAUGUGUAUAUAUCUUUAACCUAUACAUAUACGUCUACAUUUAUAUAUUAUUAUUAAUUUUUGGUAUUAUUGUUUUGUUAAUGCAUUUGUAUAUCAUAUAUGCAUCCUUCUAAUAUAUAUAUAUAAUACUCUAUAUUAUGCACAUGUAUAUUAAUAUUAUACAUAUCAUAUAUAUUAUGUACAUCUAUAUUGUAAAUAUCAUAUUGUUUGUACAUUCUAUUAUGUAUAUUUUUAUGACUAUUAUGUACUCAUUUCAUAUAUAUAUCCCGUAUAUUUUUAAUAUGUCAUAUAUCCUUUUUUUGUUUGUUUUGUUUCUAUUAUUAUAUAUAUAUUUUUUAAUACCAUAUGUAUUAUUAUAGUUUUAUAUUAUUGCUAUUAUUAUUGUUUUCGUCAUCAUUGUCAUUUUUCUUUUGUCAUGUUUUAUGCAUUUUUAUUCAAUGGUUUUAUUUUCCUCAUGCAUUUGUCUAUAUUUACACAUUACUAGGCUUGCUAUUAUUUCAUUUUUAUAUAAUUGCUCACAUUAUUAUUUUGAUAUUGUCACGCUCAUUAUUAUACAUUAUUAUUAAUACCAAAAUUUGCUUUUAUAAAUCACGUUAUAUUUUUUUACUCAAUAUAUUCAAACAAUUCUCUUAUAAAAGCAAUAUCCUGUAUUAGGUAAUUCGAGAUAAUCGUGCCCUAACUUACUGGGUUUCGACUCUUCUCAUUUAACCUAAAUAACGGAAUAUAUUCUUUUUAAAUCAUUAUACGAGUUUUAAAAAAUGCUUAUUCUCGAAGAUGCGAGGUGUUGUGCCCUAACUUACUGGGUAUGACAUUUUGUCAUCUCGAAAUAAGAAUUUGUUUUGGAAUAAAGGCAAUAUUCGGUGUUUGAAAACUCGAGAAAACGUGCCCUAACUUACUGGGUUUCGAUUUCUCUCGUUCACUCUAAAUAAUCGAAUACCCUUUAAAAUACACAGAUUUUAUAAAAGGCAAGCUCGCUCUCGAAAAUUCGAGAUGUUGUGUCCUAACUCACUGGAUAUGACAUUUCAUAUUUGAGACGAGAAGGUCUUUAAUAUUUAAGCAUUUUCUUUACAAAAAAAGGAUCGUAUGUCAAAAGUUUUCCAAGUUUUCAAUCUUCGACACUAAGACACUAAUUAAUCAACUAGGUACCAAUUUUGGGCGUAUCGAGGGUGCUAAUCCUUCCUCGCGCGUAACCGACUCCCGAACCUGUUUUCUUGAUUUGCGUAGACCAAAAUUGUUGUUUAAAUAAAUCAAGUUAUUUAUUAAAAAAACCACUUUAACGAGGUGACCCGAUCACACCUAGUCAAAAAGGAUCAGUGGCGACUCCCGUUUUUUUGCGUUUAUUUUCAAAACCCAAGUCGAUUCCCGUUUCACCAAAAAAUGGUUACGACAGCUUGGCGACUCCACUGGGGACACGAAUGAGAGAGUAAAGCCACGAGUUGAUUAACUCUUGUCUUUUUAUCGAAAAUUAAAAAUUUGGUUUUGAAAUGCGAUCCUUUCGUUACAUUUCAUCAGCUAUUUUUGUGGUACAAUACCUGCUGCGUUUUUUCGAAUCUUUAAAUAGUUUUGCAUAUUGCAUUGCAUGGUCGCUGUGGUCACAUCCCUUUAAGUGGGAGUGAGAAACUACUCCUUCGUGAGGUUUUCACCUCCGUGCAGGAUAGUGGAUCGCUUUCGGGAUACAUCCGUACCUAUGUCUUCGUGAGAUUUUCAUCUCCGUGCAGCCAUAGGGAAAUGUAUUCCCCUGAACUAAACUCGGUCUGUAUGAGCCUAUAAUGGGUGAAGAUCGAGGAAUCUACUGGUUCAGGUACCCUUACUCUAGAACUAAACCCCAUGUAGCGAGCCUUAAGAACCCGCUCUAGGUAGAGCCACUCCGAAACCCUAGUGAUCACCUGAGCAAGUGCUAUAUUUAUUAUUCUUUGUUUGCUUUGAACUGCGUAUAAAUUACUGACUUGCUUUGUUUUACUUUGAUUGCAUUUGCAUGGCAUUUUCAUUGUAAAAGGUGUUGAUUCGCAUUCGGUUCCUAAAUAGAUAGCUUAUCAUGGAAAAUGGGUUUUUUGAUAAAGUAGAAGACAACGCGGCUGUCCGGAUAUGGGCUGAGACAACACAACAAGAGAAAGGUGACAGUCUUAUCGAGGGGUACGUGUCAGAAUUGUGGAAUUUUACUCGGAUCAGCAUAACUCAGAAUAAUCUCUAAGAGAUGAAAGAAAUUUGGGGUCAGUGGGAUGACGAGGUCAAACAGCUAUUCUAUUGUCAUUACGGUGAUUUACCUUAUCUGCUUGAUGUCAAGGUAGAUGAACACUUGUUUCGAGCCCUUGCCCAAUAUUGGAAUUCUGCUUACAGUUGCUUCACCUUCGGGAAAGUAGAUUUGGUACCUACUAUAGAAGAAUACACGACCUUGCUCCAUUGCCCAAAGAUUCAGGUUGACAGAAUUUAUGCCAGACCUGCUAACGUCCCAGCAUUUUCAAAAAAGCUAAUGAACCUCACAGGGAUGAGCGAACAGUGGGUGACAACCCGGAUCAAACAAAAAGGAGAUUGUAAAUGCAUUCAUUGGAGGAACCUGAGGGAUCUAGUCUUAGCGCACCCCGACGUGAAGAAAAGGGUAGAUGUCUUCGCCUUGAGCAUUUAUGGACUGGUCAUCUCCCCAAGGCUUUGGGGCAUGUAGACGAGGCUGUUGCCGACCUUUUCGACAGGCUUGGCAAAGGAACCACACAUGUACCCACAAUCUUGGCUGAAACUUUCAGAUCAUUAAAUGUUUGUAGAAGAGCGGGCGAAGGGAGAUUUAUUGGAUGUGCACAGCUCUUGUUAUCCUGGUUCCACAGCCAUUUUUGGAAAGUGGAAAAGGUCUCGUAUCGUAUCUUCUCUGAAAAUUACUCUCCGCUGAAAGAGUUAGUGGCUACACCGAGGCGAGAUGAUGUGACAGAAGAAAAUUAGAUGACAGUGCUCCAGAAUCUGUAAGAAGAAGAUGUUGAAUGGAGAGCUCCGUGGAUGGUUCCUAAUGAAAUAUUAUACCGAUGCGGAGACUUCGAUUGGGUUCCCUUGUUAGGAGUAUGGGGGGCCGUCGGGUAUGCUCCUCUGCUUGCAUUACGACAGUACAGAUCCAGACAGUUUACACCACCAACAUACGGGUUAGCCCAGUGCGAGUUCGUGUUCACAGGGAAUAAUUACAAAAAGAAAGUUCGCGAGAUUUCAAAUGCCUGGAACCAGACUCGUAGAAUGAAGAAGUUUGCUGCCAAUCCCAUGACUACUCCUGAGUACGACCGAUGGUGGAAUCAGAGGAUUAACGACAAUAUCCUUACACCAGAUCUAGGGAAUCCUCAGCCGAUAGAAGAGCACCUGAAAGUAAUCCCAUCUGAGCUAGAAAUCAUCAAGCAAGAUUUCGCAAGAAAGAGUCUGGAGCUAGAAAAAAAGAUCGAGCAAUUGGAAGAAGAAAAGAUGCAGUUAGGGUUAUAUGUCUAUGUCCAGAAACUAGAAGCUGAAAAACUCAGAAAAGGGAAAAACAAGGCCGAAGAGGACUUAGACAGUUUGAAAACGGACUAUAAGAAGCUGCGCAGAUCAAUGAGAACCGCUGGAUUAGGAAAAACAUCCGAACAAUAGCGACAUGAAGUUAAGGAAGAACAAAGCAAAGCCAACUAGUGGGAGGAAAAAUUUCGCGGAGCUCAAGCUCGAGAAGGUGCUUUGAAAAGAAGUUUGGUAGAAAGCCAGAAUGAGAAAGAAGGGUUAAAGAUCGGAGUAUCAGAGUUAGAAAGGUUAUUGUAUCAGUAUCGCUCGCGUAAUUCUGUAAUCGAGUUGAAAGCUAGUCAGAACAGAAUCGAAGAAUUAAAAGAGAAUAUAGAAGAACUCAGAACAGCGCUGCAAAAUCGUGAACUUCAGAUAGAACUCCUCGAGGUAAAUAGCGAGAGAUGGAAUGAGCAACUUUAUCAAUCUCAAGACCAAGUCAGAAGCAGGGACUACGUCAUGAGCGAAGCUUUGACUCAAGUGCGAGAAGUGGCUGAUCACUUGCAAACAUUAGCAGUACAAGCAGAUGUGCUGAGUUUAAAAUACGAGUCAGAAUCGGACCGAGGACAAAAGCUAGCUUGGCUUUUUAGGCAGGUCAAGGCCUUAAGCAUCAGGGCCAAGCCUUAUAUGUAAUCUAUUUUAUGUAAAGAAACUUAUUUUCUAGAAAAGUUACUCUAAUGAAAUCGAAUUGGAAUCAACGCUUUUUUGCAUUCAUCGCAUUCACUGCAUUCAUGCAUCAGCAUUGUAUCAUAUGCACUAAAACUCACAAGAAACCCUAAAAAAUCAUGGCCGUUACCCUGGAACAUCGUUACGGUACAAGGGAAAAAACAAGGGCAAUGGACCAAAGGUUAGAGAGAUUGGAACAAAUGCAAAAAGAGAUGCAGGAUCAAUUACAAGCACGUAUGCAAGAACAGCUUGCCAAAAUCCAGCAAGAUAUGAGGGACCACAUGUUGGAGUCCCAGAAAAGCAUGAUGGACCAAUUAACUCGUCUAUUGGCUGGCGGAUUAGAAAAAGGGAAAAGCCCUUUGGUCAAUGCGGAAGAAGAUAAUGAAGAUCCUACCUACCCUCCGGGUUUUGCCCCAGCAGACAUUCAGACACAACCUGACAUGUACCCAAAAAGGUCAUCGGUCAUGAUUAGGCCCCAACCAUUUCAGGCCGGUGCUUCAGCACCGAUGAAUUAUCAGGCCGACUCAGGCUCUAAUCCGGGGGACAAUCCAACCAAUCCUGUGGUCCUCAAUCUCGAUGAAGUAAUAGAAGCAGAAAAGACAAGGGUAGAACUCCCGAGAGAGCUUGAAGAAAGGUGUAGAUGGUUGGAAGAAAAAAUUAAAGAAACGGAAAACACCGACUAUCGUGGUGGAAUCGACGCUAAGGAAUUAAGUUUGGUUCCGGACCUGGUACUCCCUCCCAAGUUCAAAACUCUGAAAUUUGAGAAAUACAACGGGACUAGCUGUCCCGAAGCUCACAUCACUAUGUUCUGCAGACGGAUGGCGGGCCAUGUCAACAAUGACCAGCUAUUAAUUCACUGCUUCCAAGAAAGUCUGGUUGGGGCCGCUUCUAGAUGGGACAACCAGCUGAGUCGCGCCCAGAUCAGUUCAUGGAAAGAUUUAACACAAGCCUUCAUGAAGCAAUACGGUCAUGUGGCAGACAUAGCCCCUGAUAGAAUCACUUUACAGAAUAUGGAGAAGAAGCAUAAUGAAAGCUUUAGGCAGUAUGCCCAGUGAUGGAGAGAAGUGGCCACACAGGUCCAACCCCCUCUGUUGGAAAAGGAAACCACUAUGCUAUUCAUCAAUAUCCUGAAGGCACCUUUUAUUAACCACAUGCUGGGUAGCGCAACCAAGAGUUUUUCGGACAUAGUAAUGUCUGGAGAAAUGAUAGAAAAUGCCAUAAGAUGUGGGAAAAUAGAGGCUGGGGAAAAUACUAAGAGGACAGCGCCGAGAAAGAAAGAGCACAAGAUGAAUAAUGUGAGCUCAUAUUCGAAGUCGAUCACCGUAAGCCAACCAAGGUCAACAACUACUGGACAGCAGGGCCCACCCCGACAAGAGCCCAACACAAAACAAAAUAGGGAGAAACUUCAAUUUACACCCAUUCCAAUGACGUAUAAGGAGUUAUACCAGAGUUUAUUUGAUGCACAUGUCGUGUCUCCCUUCUAUCUAAAGCUAAUGCAACCUUCAUACCCCAAAUGGUAUGACGCAAAUGCCCAAUGCGAAUACCAUGCGGGAGCCACAGGACACUCGAUAGAAAACUGCACCACUUUUAAGAAAUUGGUUGAAAGACUCAUCAAUAUGGGGAUUGUGAAAUUUGAUGAUGCAUCCAAUACAGAGAACCCAUUACCUAACCAUGGGGAUAAGGGAAUAAAUGCGAUAAUCCAGAGUUCGGGGAAAGAAAUUAAGAUGAAUGUUGCAGAAGUGAAUACCCCGUUGAAAGAAGUAUGGAAGAAAAUGGUGGAAAGAGGUUUGAUGGCACAGAAUUCGGGGGUCAGGCCUCGAGAAGCGAAGAAUUAUUGUGAAUUCCACGAUCAAGAGGAUCACGAGAUCCAAAAAUGCAACCAAUUCAGGGCUUUAAUAUAAGGAUUGAUGGAUAAUAAGGAGCUGGAAUUCUUCAAAUAUGUCGGGAGCCCAGGAGAAACAGAUGUGUGUGCCUCCGAAGAGGGGUCGAUGAAGGAUGUUCACAAAGUCAACUACCCAGUGGUUAUCAUAUCACGUCCGAGAAUGAAUGAAGCUGGGGCACGAGUUGCGCCAAAGGUCGUGAUCCAAAAGCCCGUUGCUUUUCCUUAUAAAGAUAGCAAAAGGGUACCGUGGAACUAUAGCUGCAAUGUGACAUUUUUGGGAGAGGAGACCCCGAUUAAUGCAUCAGAAGAAGUUCAAGACGAAGGUUUUUAUACGCGCAGCGGAAGGCGUUAUACCCCAAAUACAAAAGCCGAGCAGGUUAAAGAAAAAUCAUUAGUAAUUGAGCAAAAGAAAGAGAAGCCGGCGGGGCAUGAACCAACUGUUAAUGAAUCAGUGACUGAAAAAGAAGCCAAGGAAUUCUUAAAAUUCCUAAAGCACAGAGAAUAUAGUGUCGUAGAACAGUUGCACAAAUAGCCAGCGCGUAUAUCGGUACUGGCCUUACUUUUAAGUUCCGAAACUCAUCGCAGUGCAUUGAUGAAGGUGCUGAAUGAAACUUAUGUUGCUAACGAUAUCUUUGUAAACAAGCUAGACCGCUUAGUCAACAAUAUAAGUGCCGACAACUUCAUAUUCUUCAAUGACGAUGAGGUACCGCCAGGGGGCCGAGGAUCAACUAAAGCUUUGCACAUCACGACUCGCUAUAAAGGGUACACGUUACCGGGGGUAUUGAUUGACAAUGGGUCUGCACUGAAUGUCCUACCCCUAUCUACGCUGAGUAGGUUGCCAGUGGAUAGUUCCCAUAUGAAGACAUGCCAAAGUGUAGUGAGAGCAUUUGAUGGCACGGAAAGGAGGGUAAUGGGGAGAAUUGAAGUACCCUUCUUAAUCGGGCCGAGCACAUACGAGGUAGAUUUCUUGGUCAUGGACAUUAAGCCUUCGUAUAAUUGCCUAUUGGGGAGGCCAUGGAUACACUCAGCGAGGGCAGUCCAUUCAUCGCUGCAUCAAAAGUUGAAAUUAGUGACCGAAGGUCAGUUAGUAACAAUCAAUGCUAAAGAGGACAUCAUCGCGACAAUAACCAGUGAUGCCCCAUAUCUGGAGACAAAUGAUGAAGCGAUCGAGUGCUCUUUUCGAUCUUUGGAGUUUGUGAACGCGACGUUCAUCAUCGAAGGAAAUAAGAUUCCAAUGCCCAGGUUAUCUGAGACUACAAGAAUGGGACUACGGUUAACUGUGGGAAAUGGGGCUCUACCCGGAAGAGGACUCGGGAGAUACCUCCAGGAAAGGAUUAAUGUACCAAUGAUGGAGGACAAAUAAGAUCGUUUUGGGUUAGGGUUUAAGCCGGACAUGAAACAAAGGAAGAAGGAACUUGAGAAGAAGCAAGAAAGAAGGAGAGCACGAUUGAGCGGGGGAGAAAUCGAAUGGGAACCAAUGAUCUUCCCCCAUAUAUCAAAGACUUUUGUGUCUGGAGGGGUCAUUCACUCCGAGCGGAAGACGUCGGGAAAGGAAAUCUUGGAAGGAAUGAUGGAGAGUUUAGACAUCAACUCCACAUAUGAAGAAGGGACGAGGGUAGAGAAUUUGUCAGGCAUUCGCCCCUAUGAGCCGGGAAGUGUUCUGAAUAAUUGGACUGCGGAAGAGAUUCUUGUAGUAUUUAAAACUAACUCAGAGUAAUGUCCAAAACACACUUAUUACUCUAGGCCUAGGAGUAACAAGUGUCAUUUUGUGAAAUAGGCUUAUGUUCGAAAUCGUUAUUUCAAUGAAAUGCAUCCUUUUGACUUAUUUCGUGCAAAUAUUCUUUUAUUCUUUCAUUCAUGAUCAUACCAAACAUAUCAUUAUUCUUAGAUUCUCUUGUUCUUUGCAUCUUUCUUCACACCUACAACAGGUCUCCAGAUAUAAAUGAUGCGAGUGACGUUGCUACUAAUUCAGAAUCUCCUUUUGAGCGAGAUAUGUGUCUGGAGGGAUCCCAAGACUUUGAGGAUGACGGAGACUGUAACUUAUCCCUUGAUUUGUUAAGGAUUGUAGAACACGAGAAGAAACAGAUUCUACCCCACAAAGAGACCGUAGAAGUCGUGAACUUGGGAGAUGAACUAGAAAAGAGAGAAGUAAAGAUCGGAACUUGCAUCACCACAGAGACAAAGCGGGACCUUAUUGAGUUACUCCAAGAGUUCAAGGAUGUCUUUGCAUGGUCAUAUCAGGAUAUGCCUGGGCUAAGUACUGACAUUGUGGCACACAGGCUCCCCAUCAAAGAAGAAUGGAAGCCAGUUCAGCAAAAGCUUCGAAGGAUGCGGCCCGAUGUUCUGUUGAAGAUAAAAGAGGAAGUCAAGAGGCAAUUUGAUGCUGGUUUCUUACAAGUAGUUAAGUACUCGGAAUGGGUAGCCAACAUCGUCCCCGUCACUAAAAAAGAUGGAAAGGUACGGAUGUGUGUAGACUACAGAGACUUAAACAAUGCCAGCCCGAAAGAUAAUUUCCCGUUGCCUCAUAUCGACACCUUAGUGGACAACACGGCAGGUUACUCACUCUUCUCCUUCAUGGAUGGUUUCUCGGGGUAUAAUCAGAUCAAGAUGCAUUCUGAAGACAUGAAUAAAACCACAUUUGUGACCAUGUGGGGAACCUUUUGCUAUAAAGUAAUACCGUUCGAAUUUAAAAAUGCGGGAGCAACAUAUCAGAGAGCCCUGGUAACCCUAUUUCAAGAUAUGAUGCAUAAAUAAAUUGAAGUCUAUGUCGACGACAUGAUCGCCAAAUCUCGGACUGAAGAAGAACAUGUGCAAGUCUUGAGGAAAUUAUUUUUGAGGUUGAGAAAAUUCCAGUUGAAACUCAACCCCGCAAAAUGUUCUUUCGGAGCCAGGUCUGGAAAACUGCUAGGAUUCGUGGUCAGUGGAAAAGGGAUUGAGAUUGACCCAGAUAAAGUCAAAACCAUACAAGAGUUACCUCCACUACGCACUCAGAAGGAAGUUCGAGGAUUCCUAGGAAGACUAAAUUACAUCACUCGGUUUAUUUCACAACUAACCGAGAAAUGUGACCCCAUAUUCCGUCUCCUUAAGAAACACAACCCUGGUGGUUGGGACGAGGAAUGCCAGAAGACCUUUGACAAAGUUAAGCAAUAUUUAUCUAAUGCCCCAGUGUUGACACCACCUAAUCCAAAUAAGCCACUGAUACUGUAUUUGACGGUAUUUGAAAAUUCUAUGGGAUGCGUGCUUGGCCAACACGAUGAAUCAGGAAGGAAAGAAAGCGAUAUAUUACCUCAGUAAAAAGUUUACUGAGUGUGAGACGAGAUACUCGUUCAUUGAAAAGUUGUGCUGUGCCUUGAUUUGGACAACUCGAAUACUGAGACAAUACAUGUUGUACCAUACAACUUGGCUGAUCUCUAAAAUGGAUCCUCUGAAGUACUUGAUGGAGUCGACUGCCUUCAACGAGAGAAUGGCUCGAUGGCAAAUUCUACUUUCUGAAUUCGAUAUAGUCUAUGUGAACCAGAAGGCCGUAAAAGGGAGUGCGAUAGCAGAUUUCUUAGCCAGCAGAGCCCUAGAGGACUACGAGCCUCUGAACUUUGAUUUCCCAAAUGAAGAUCUAAUGUGCAUAGCAACCACUGAAGAAGACCCUCAAGAAGGUCACCUUUGGAAGCUAAACUUUGACGGAGCAUCAAAUGCCGUGUGUAACGGAAUCGGGGCAGUUUUGGUGUCCCCGAACGAAGAUCAUUAUCCAUUCACUAGUAAAUUGAAUUUUGACUGCACGAACAAUAUGGCAGAAUACGAAGCAUGCAUCAUGGGAAUACGUACGGCCAUAGAACGUAAAAUCAAGGUGUUAGAGGUAUAUAGAGAUUCUGCCCUAGUGAUUUAUCAACUCAAAGGUGAAUGGGAGACAAGAGACCCCAAAUUGAUCAAUUACUGGAGGUUGAUCCUUGAGUUAAUUAAAGAGUUUGAUGAUAUUAUCUUCUACUACCUCCCACGAGAAGAAAAUCAGAUGGCUGACGCCCUAGCAACUUUAGCUUCUAUGAUUAAGGUGAACCAACCAGAGAAUGUGAAACCAAUCCAAAUGAGCAUUUACGAGGCCCCGGCUCAUUGUUACAACCUCGAAGAAGAAGAGGAAAAUGAUGAUCGCCCUUGGUACCACGAUAUCCUACGAUAUGUGAAGAAUCGCGAGUACCCCGACCAAGCUACUGAGAACGACAAAAGAACGUUGAAAAGACUGGCCAGUGACUAUGUCUUAGACGGGGAGAUCCUAUACAAAAGAAGAAAGGAUCAGGUACUGUUAAGAUGUGUAAACGCCAUUGAGGCUAAGAAAAUCUUGGAAGAAGUCCAUGAGGGCGUCUGCGGGACACAUGCUAAUGGUUUUACAAUGGCCAGGCAAAUUAUGAGGUUCGGUUAUUAUUGGUCCACCAUGGAAGGAGACUGUAUUAACUACGCCAAAAGAUGUUAUAAGUGCCAAAUCUAUGGAGACAAGAUUAAUGUACCUCCCUCACCUCUGCAUGUCAUGACUUCGCCAUGGCCUUUGUCGAUGUGGGGCAUGGAUGUGAUUGGGCCAAUUUCGCCAAAAGCUUCAAAUGGGUAUCGUUUCAUCUUUGUGGUCAUCGAUUAUUUCACCAAAUGGGUGGAAGCCGCUUCAUAUGCCAAUGUCACUAAAUCAGCAGUUAGCAAGUUUCUGAAAAAGGAAAUCGUCUGUCGAUAUGGAAUGCCGGAAAGGAUCAUAUCUGACAACGCAUUGAAUUUGAACAAUAGCACGAUAACGGACGUCUGCAGUCAGUUCAAGAUCAGACAUCACAACUCGUCACCGUAUCGCCCGAAGAUGAACGGUGCAGUUGAAGCAGCCAAUAAGAACAUCAAGAAGAUUGUAGGAAAGAUGACAGAAACUUAUAAAGAUUGGCAUGAGAAGCUACCAUUCGCCCUCUAUGCUUAUCGAACGUCUAUCAGAACUUCUACUGGGGCAACGCCUUUCUCAUUAGUUUAUGGGAUGGGGGCAGUUUUACCUAUCGAGGUCAAGAUUCCUUCCCUCAGAGUUUUGUCAGAAGUAAAGUUGGAUGAAGCGGAAUGGAUCUAGUCCCGAUACGAUCAGUUGAAUUUGAUUGAAGAAAAAAGGCUACGGGCUAUUCGCCAUGGUCAGAUGUACCAGAAGCGAAUGGUGCGAGCUUACAACAAAAAGAUUCGUCCCAGAGAGUUCCACGAGGGAGACCUAGUACUGAAAAAGAUCCUGCCUAUACAAAAGGACUUCAGACGAAAAUGGAUGCCAAAUUGGGAAGGGCCUUAUGUGGUGAAGAAAGCCUUUUCUGGCGGAGCAUUGAUAUUGGCUGAAAUGGAUGGCAAGACCUUAUCCAAUCCCGUGAAUUCGGAUUCGGUUAAGAAAUACUUCGCCUAAAAAAAAGAUAAAAAAAGAGGAGAGGCCAGGGUGAAAACUCGCAAAGAGCACCUUGAGACCAAAGGGAUUUUGAAUUGAAAACCCGUAAAGGGCGAUUCAAAUUUUGAUCAAAGGUGGGGCAUGCGAUGGUCUUAUGGUACCUAAAUUAACAAGGAGGAGAGAUGUUACAUCUUGGGACAUCUGCAAGAGUACUCUAGAUCCUCUAAACACAUAUUGGGCAAAAAAAGAAGUCUUCAAGAAGUCAGUACAGAGAAACUCACGCUGCGAUAUCUGGGGCACCUAUUCCCUUUUAUUCAUUUUGUAUUCCAGCAAUGUUUGUUUUUAAUCUAUUCCCUUCAAAUGUUGUUUCUGAUAAAUUUCAGUUUUGCCAUUGUUAUGAUCUUUUUCAAGAAUUUUGCAUUGAAAUGAUGAUUAAUGGACUAAAGCCAUUUUCGUAAAAAGAGUUCUGCAUAUUACUCUGAAAGUUUCUAAAUAGUACAGGAACUUGAAACAGGACUAUCUUUUUUAGAACUAACUAAACUCAAAGAUUGAAAACAUCUGAGAAGAAAGAGUUUAAAUUGGGACUAUCUCUUCGGGUCUUCUGUUCAAAUUGGAGCUGAACAAAAAGACAGGGUACCAUUUCAGUGAAGGAACCUUGAUGAACAAAGAGCAAUGGCAGCCUAAACAGGGAUUCACGCUCACAACAUGCUGCAUUCAUACAUUCAUAGAUCAUUCAUAAUGUAUCUAAUUAGGAGCAUUUGAUUCACUUUAAUCAUAGCAUCCUAAUUCUUUGGCAUAAGCAUAAAUACAUGGAACUGAUGCUACAGGUCAUGUCCCUAGAAUCAGUGAAUUCACCAAAGCCUUAAACCCCUAAGCAGUAGGGUAACAGGUUGAAUUUAUAGACCUUGACCCCCUAAGCAGUAGGGUAAUAGGCUGAAAAUUACGGAUCUGUCUCUCUGAAGUUGCAGUGGAACAGAUCGAAUCCAGCAAGUCUCAUCUCCCUGAAGUCGUAGUGGAGUAGACUGAAGAUUUACAGAUCUUACCCCCUAAGCAGUAGGGAAACAGAUCAGAAGUGAUGGGCUUCAACCCCCUAAGCAAUAGGGUAACAAGCCAAAUUUUCAAACCUUAAACCCCUAAGCAGUAGGGAAACAGGUCGAGCUUUAACCCCUAAGCAAUAGGGUAACAAGCUGAAUUUUGAAGAUCUUAUCAUCCUAAGCAGUAGGGAAACAGGUUGAGCUUUAACCCCUAAACAGUAGGGUAACAAGUUGAAUUUUGAAAAUCUUAACCCCCUAAGCAGUAGGGAAACAGAUCAAAGAGGAUGGGCCUUAACCCCUAAGCAGUAGGGUAACAGGUUGAAAAUUACAAAUCUCUUUUCUUUGAAAUGUCACUGGAUAGCACAACAGACCUCCUUGAAGUUUCAACGGGAUAGAUUGAAGUUACAAGUCUUAUCUCCCUAAAGUUGUAGUGGAGCAGACUAAAGAUAGCAAAUCUUAUUUCCCUGAAGUUGCAGUGGAACAGAUUGAAGCUAAAGUACAGAUUUUAUCUCUUUGAAGUUGCAGUGGAGCAGAUCGAAGCCAUUAACCUUAUCCCCUAAAGUUGUAAUGGAGCGGACUGAAGAUAUCAAAUCUUACUUCCCUGAAGAUGCAAUAAAUUGGAGUGAAGAAACAAGAUUGGAAUGAAGCUACUUGGAGAAAAUGAGCUCUAAACAAGUCAAGACCUGGUGAGACUAAGCAAAAUUGGUCUUUCUUAAGUCUUUGCUCUGUUCCCGUUACACGACAACAAGCAAAGAGGGGCAGCCGUACAGCCCAAUUUUGGGGCCCAAAUAAAACCCACUAACCCCUAAAUACUCACUAAACCCCCUAUAACACCAAAUAAAACCCAAUAGCAGCCCAAUUCAAACCAAAUAAACAAACAGACCAAAACCGACAAGCCCAAUGCAAACCCAAACUACCCACUACACACUAAACCUACCCAAACCCUAAUCUAACCCUAAAAUUUAGGGUUUCAGAAUUUGAAACCCUAAAUCACUUAUCCCACCGCCCCAUGUCAGAAUCUGGCCACCGCCUCUGCUCCACCGCCACGGUCACGUCAGUCACCCACUUGCUCCACUACCUGCAAAUAUUAAAUAGAGAAAAGACAGGAAGUAGAAAAGAAACAUGUAAUGGCUAUAUAUAAAGCCGAAUCAAAAACCAUGAGGGUCGGUUUUUUGAAAAUGAAAAGCAUUUAGAUCUUAAAGAAUACAAAACAAAGAUUUCAUCAACAUCAAAAAGCAAAAAAAAUGAAAUCUCAGCAAAAUCAAAAGGCAGAAAACAGUUCAAACAAAGAAUCGAAAUCUAAUAUUGCAAGGUGAUUUUACCAUCAUCAUUGUCUUCUUUCUUUUUCUUCUUUUAAUCUAUUUAUUCACAUGCCUAUACAUAUAUAAAAUAGCAAAAAAAAAUAGAAUAAAAAAUUUACCUUGAGCGAUUUCCGGCCACCGUGUACGGUGGCCGGCACGGCGGACGACACGGCGGCGAACGGUCAGCUCCUCGCCGGUUUCUGGG